AAAGAGUGCAUCAAGAGGUAGAAGGAAAACUGGUACUGAAAACAUUUGUCUUCACUCACAUGGUCCAGACUAAAGAGAAGUGGGUCUGAGGUCUUUGUUGACGGUGUAUUCAGUGGCCACCAAGUGCAGCACUGCAGCCUGAAACUGUGAUGACUGAAUUCCCAAACAGCUCUGUGACAGCACAGAUGUAACUACAGCCCAUAAAAGAAACUUCUCAACUGAGAACUAGUUGUGGAGGGAUUUUUAAGCCCAUACCUCCAACAACCUUCAAUGGGAAUCAAUGGACAUCUAAGUUUUUUUUUGUUUUGUUUUUUUGAGGAAAGCACGGGGGACCUUCAGAGACUCCAGCCACACAAGCCAUGGAUUGCUCUCACCGUUACCAUCAGGCAGAUGUUAUCGCAGAACCCUCACCAGCAGACUGCAUGACAAGUUCCAUCCACAGGAAAUCAGACUGAACUGAACUCGUAACACCACACACACACCAGUAGCCUCAUUUGCACUGCACUCUAUCAGUUACGCCACUGUGAGACUCUGACUCACUAUUAUUCUCCACCCUGACAUUCUGUUUGCACUAAUUCAUACUGUACUGCACUGCAAAGGUAUAUGUAAAGUAUACAGUGAUUGUUGUUUAUUGUUUUCAUUUUGUGCUCUCUGUAUAGUAUAAUAUUGCACUAUAUAUUAUUUUCUACCUGUUUUGAGCCCUUAUGUAUACUAUGUAUAUUUUUAAUACUGUAUAUGUGUUGCAGAUAUGUUCAAUACUUGUCAUUCUGUCAUGCUGCAGAGUUUGCACAAAAGCAUUUCACCAUCUGUAUACUUGCAUUCAUGGUAUUGUGAUAAUAAAGUGAUUUGAUUUGAAUUGGUCACAUGACUUGUUCAUCAGUUGUACUGUUGUGCUGGAUAACAAUUGCAAAUUGUUUAUGACACUGAAGAAGAUUAUGAUAGGGACAUGGAUAGAAAACCAGGAGAGCUCUGAUGAUGAGAAGGAAACUGGAUGUGAUUCUUUGGUGCUCCAGACAUUUCACCAUGCGUGCAUCUGGGUUUCUUCAUCUGAUUAAAAUAAUAUGCUUUUAACAUAACCCAUUUUUAUUUCACUUGAAUAUCAUUUGUCUUAUAUGCUACUUUAUCUGUCUUUACGCUGCAUUCUAGUAAAAUAUUGGGUAUGGUGUUGGAUAAUAAAAUAUGGUGAAUAUUCUGUAUUAGGGAUGGUUUUUAGUAAAUACACCAUUUAAUUUUGUAAACAGUACAUAUAAUUACCAUGGUUGUUUUAAUUAAGACAUGAACAUUUAGUCAUAUUAAUGAAAUUCAGUUAGAUGAAGAGCCGGCAGAAAGUUGCAUUAGAAGAGACUGCAUGGACUUCAUGCACAACUGAAGGUGAUGAAUCAAGGAAAGAACAUGAAUCCUGUUCUGUAUUAUAAUGAAGAUGAUCAUGCACAUUAUUGAUGUCUAGCACCUGAGGAGGACAAAGAUGAGACAUUCUUUACAGAGAUUUAUGAAUUAGGUCUUUUAUAGUAUGAUUCUUUGCAUUGCAUGAAUUGUAUGGCUUUUGCACCAUAAACUGCACACUCUCACACAUUGUCUUACUGAAUGACACAUUGGCCUUGUGUGAUAGUACAAUGAAGUGUCACAAUAUAUAUUUGUUGUCUUUGUUUACUGUCAGCACUGUAUUCUUGCUCUUGAUCUAAUGAAAUAAAUUGAGCCCUUUCCAAAUGGGCAUUUAUGUAGAUGUUCUGGUGUCUUAAUUCUAAGAUAAGUAUGACUUCCAACUUACAUAAUGGUAUGCUUUUGAAAAGACAAUCUAAAAAAUGUGACUCAACAGUUUGUUGCCCAUGAUGAGAAUAGAUCUGUGCAUUUUUUCCUGCUCUCCCAUCCCCAGGGGCCCAGUACAGUCCCAUGGAAGAGCAAAAAAAAUAACAUUUCAAAUGGCUGUAAAUCAAAAUCUGAUUAUAGUUUCAA
ensembl:lncRNA